CUUGAAGGAGGGUGUGUGUGUGUGUGUGUGCCCUUGAAGGAGGGUGUGUAUGUGUGUGUGUGUAUGUGUGUGUGUGUGUGACCAAGAGCACUGAGGGAAGGACUGCCCUUGAAGGGGAGUGUGUGUGUGUAUGUGUUAGUGACCAUGUGUCUGUGUGUGUUCGUUAAUGACCAAGUGUGUGUAUUUGUGUGUGUGUUUGUUAAUGACUGUGUUUGUGUGUGUUCAUUAGCGACCAAGUGACCAGCCCUCACCAAGUCCUUUAGAAACUGGGAGCUCACAGUCUGGCCCCUGGGCAGCCUCCUUCAUUCAUUAGGAAACUAGAACCUUCUGCGUUAAAUAGAGCAUUUUGUUUGAAUGAAGAUUUUUCCCGUCUGUGCACGCAGACACGGCGGCCGCAGGAGAUGCGUGGAUUCAAAGGCUUCCUCCAGCCUGUGGGUGCUGGGGAGGGGAUGGGAGCAUAAGCAGUCCAUACCACUGCCUCCUUUGUCUGAAGGGGGACUGGAUAUGGAGGAUGUGCUUUCCCCUUUCUCUCCAAGUUCCAGGGGGAACCUUGAACCUGAGGUAGAAGCUAUUCAGACUCAAUGAUUACAGGCAACAAGGAGAGAAAUCUUCUAGGGCCCAGCCUUCAGCUGGCAACACCAGCAUUCAUCUUGUUUUUCUGGAGAAAGUAGGAGAUGUCAGUCCUGACCAUGGUGUAAGACUCGGGGAACUUCAGAGGGGCCCCAGAGCAGCUCCUCACCUUGCUCAUCUUGCCUCCUCUCUGCCUCUCAGCUGCCCGGAAUUGACUAUAUCAUCCUAAGCUAAUUUUUUCCUCUGCCUCUUCAUCUGGAGACUCCCCCAGAGCAGCAUUAACUCAGGCAAAGCCCCAAACCUCCCUGGGCCUAUUUACCUCUAAAAAAAAGUCCCUGGUUGAGAAGUUCAAGUUGAAUGUGGAUGCAAAAGCAUUUUUUAAACCAUAGUACAUUGAAGAAUAUGAUUGUUCUCCUUGGGAGGGCAGGGGUGCUGAAUUGAGGCUAGCCUGGAUUCAUCCUCCUAUCUAUGGUAGAGACAUCAAACUAGCAGACCUUGGAGUCCCAGAGCACCUCCAAAGUGAAAAUGUGUCUGAAGAGAUGCUGCUUGUGGAAGCAGAGUUCUUCACUUUGCUGGGCUUCAGAACUCCCGUUGGAUCUGGAAAUGCCAAGUGGAUGGGGAUUGUAUUAAGUGGCCUCAAAGGCCCUCCAUCUUCCUCAGACUCCAAGAGGCUGAAUGACUCACCCAAAGGUCAGCUCGGAAGCCAUGCAAAUGCGGAAGCUGCUUAGGUGCUUCAGAUAGAGAUGAGUUUCCAAGACUGGGACCUAGUUGCCACUAAUUAGACAUGGCAUGACUGCAGAGACUUAGCAGCAGCAGCAGACAUGGCACAUGAGAUUUCAGUUUGAAAGAGAAUGUCAUGAAGAAGACAGUGCCAUGAAGAGAGCAUUCUGUUGCAGGAGGCAGAGGCAGCAGGGCGAGAGGUCCUGGUAAUAGCUUCCCAGGCCGGGUUGGCAGGGAGAGCCAUGGGGCCAGCUCCCGUGGAGCAGUCUGGUGGUGCAGCCUGGCCACUGUUCCUGCAAACCCUCCUAGCUUGACUCUCUGUCUUUCUAGAAAUCCCUAGAGACACCACAAAUUUCUUUACUAAGCUUUCUUUCCUGCUUCCAUGAGC
ensembl:lncRNA